rnacentral:rRNA from 1 species
GAUGAACGCUGGCGGCGUGCUUAACACAUGCAAGUCGAGCGAAGCACUUAUGACGAUCCUUCGGGUGAAUCAUUUGUGACUGAGCGGCGGACGGGUGAGUAACGCGUGAGUAACCUGCCUCAUACAGGGGAAUAACAGUUAGAAAUGACUGCUAAUGCCGCAUAAGCGCACAGGGCCGCAUGGCCCGGUGUGAAAAACUCCGGUGGUAUGAGAUGGACUCGCGUCUGAUUAGCUAGUUGGCAGGGUAACGGCCUACCAAGGCGACGAUCAGUAGCCGGCCUGAGAGGGUGAACGGCCACAUUGGGACUGAGACACGGCCCAAACUCCUACGGGAGGCAGCAGUGGGGAAUAUUGCACAAUGGGGGAAACCCUGAUGCAGCGACGCCGCGUGAGUGAAGAAGUAUUUCGGUAUGUAAAGCUCUAUCAGCAGGGAAGAAAA